CGCGGGGUAGAGCAGUCUGGUAGCUCGUUAGGCUCAUAACCUAAAGGUCGAGGGUUCGAAUCCCUCCCCCGCCACCA
rnacentral:tRNA from 1 species